rnacentral:tRNA from 1 species
AUUUUCUUAGUUUAAAUUUAAAAUGUGACUUUGAAGAGGUUGAGAUUUAGAAGGUGU